rnacentral:rRNA from 1 species
CCUACGGGAGGCAGCAGUAGGGAAUAUUGCACAAUGAGGGAAACCCUGAAGCAGCAACGCCGCGUGGAGGAUGAAGGUUUUCGGAUUGUAAACUCCUUUUGUUAGAGAAGAUAAUGACGGUAUCUAACGAAUAAGCACCGGCUAACUCCUUGCCAGCAGCCGCUGUAAUACGGAGGGUGCAAGCGUUACUCGGAACCACUGGGCGUAAAGGGCGCGUAGGCGGGAUAGCAAGUCAGAUGUGAAAUCCUAUGGCUUAACCAUAGAACUGCAUUUGAAACUGUUAUUCUAGAGUAUGGGAGAGGUAGGUGGAAUUCUAGGUGUAGGGGUAAAAUCCGUAGAGAUCAAGAAGAAUACUCAUUGCGAAGGCGACCUGCUAGAACAUAACUGACGCUGAUGCGCGAAAGCGUGGGGAGCAAACAGGAUUAGAUACCCUGGUAGUC